rnacentral:misc_RNA from 1 species
GAUGAAGAACGUAGUGAAAUGCGAUAAGUAGUGUGAAUUGCAGAAUUCAGUGAAUCAUCGAAUCUUUGAACGCACAUUGCGCCCCUUGGUAUUCCAUGGGGCAUGCCUGUUCGAGCGUCAUUUGUACCUUCAAGCUUUGCUUGGUGUUGGGUGUUUGUCUCGCCUCUGCGUGUAGACUCGCCUUAAAACAAUUGGCAGCCGGCGUAUUGAUUUCGGAGCGCAGUACAUCUCGCGCUUUGCACUCAUAACGACGACGUCCAAAAGUACAUUUUUACACUCUUGACCUCGGAUCAGGUAGGGAUACCCGCUGAACUUAAGCAUAUCAAUAAGCGGAGGA